rnacentral:rRNA from 1 species
AGAGUUUGAUCCUGGCUCAGGAACGAACGCUGGCGGCGUGCUUUACCCAUGCAAGUCGGACGGGGGGAGUAAUCCCCAGUGGCAGACGGCUGAGUAACACGUGAGUGACCUGCCCAGAGGUGGGGGAUAGCCAUCCGAAAGGAUGGGUAAUACCGCGUAAGCUCGUUUGGAUAGAGCCAGACGAGGAAAGCAGCAAUGCGCCUUUGGAGGGGCUCGCGGCCCAUCAGGUAGUUGGCGGGGUAACGGCCCACCAAGCUGAUGACGGGUAGCUGGUCUGAGAGGAUGAUCAGCCAGACUGGGACUGAGAGACGGCCCAGACUCCUACGGGGGGCAGCAGGGGGGAAUCUUGGACAAUGGGCGAAAGCCUGAUCCAGCGACGCCGCGUGGAGGACGAAGGUCUUCGGAUCGUAAACUCCUUUUGACAGGGAAGAUGAUGACGGUACCUGUCGAAUAAGCCCCGGCUAACUACGUGCCAGCAGCCGCGGUAAUACGUAGGGGGCGAGCGUUGUCCGGAUUUACUGGGCGUAAAGAGCGCGUAGGCGGCUCGUUAAGUUGGCUGUGAAAUCUCCUGGCCCAACUGGGAGCGGUCAGCCGAGACUGGCGGGCUUGAGGGCGGUAGAGGAAGGUGGAAUUCCGGGUGUAGUGGUGAAAUGCGUAGAGAUCCGGAGGAACACCAGUGGCGAAGGCGGCCUUCUGGGCCGUACCUGACGCUGAGGCGCGAAAGCGUGGGGAGCGAACUGGAUUAGAUACCCAGGUAGUCCACGCCCUAAACUAUGGACGCUAGGUGUCGGGGGUAUCGACCCCCCCGGUGCCGAAGCCAACGCAUUAAGCGUCCCGCCUGGGGAGUACGGCCGCAAGGCUAAAACUCAAAGGAAUUGACGG